CACCCAACAGCUAGCCCCCCCCCCCAAACUCAACAAACCAUUAUUAAUACCCCCUAACACACUUAACUAAAUAAAACAAAUCAUUUUCCCACCUUAGUAUAGGAGAUAGAAAAGGAAAAAGGAGCCAUAGACAAAGUACCGCAAGGGAACGCUGAAAGAGAAAUGAAACAACCCAGUAAAGUACAAAAAAGCAGAGAUUACACCUCGUACCUUUUGCAUCAUGAUUUAGCUAGUAAAAUUAGGCGAAGAGCACUUUAGUCUAAACCCCCGAAACUGAACGAGCUACUCCAAGACAGCCUUUUAGGGCACAUCCGUCUCUGUGGCAAAAGAGUGGAAAGAGCUUCGAGUAGAGGCGAUAAACCUACCGAGUUCAGUUAUAGCUGGUUGCCCGGGAAUUGAGUAUAAGCUCAGCCCUUAGGCUUCUUAACUCUAUAGUUAUUAAACACACCGACCCCAAGAAACCUAAGAGGUUAGUCAAAGGGGGUACAGCCCCUUUGAUAAAAGAAACAACUUUACCAGGAGAAUAAGGAUCAUAAUAAACCAAGGCACUAGUGCUUAAGUGGGCUUAGAAGCAGCCACCACAAGAAAGCGUUAAAGCUCUAGCACACCGACCCCAUAAAUACUGAUAAAAACCCCUAAUCCCUACCCCUACCGGGCUCUUCUAUGCCCACAUAGAAGAAACAAUGCUAAAAUGAGUAAUAAGGGGCCGACCCCCUCCAAGCACAAGUGUACAUCAGAACGAACCCCCACCGAAACUUAACGGACCCAAUAAAAGAGGGGAAUGAAUAUUAAACUUAACAACAAGAAAAACAUCCACCGCUUCUCCGUUAACCCUACACUGGUGUGCUAUAAAGGAAAGACUAAAAGAAAAAGAAGGAACUCGGCAAACUUAAAGCCUCGCCUGUUUACCAAAAACAUCGCCUCUUGCAUAAUGAAUAAGAGGUCUCGCCUGCCCUGUGACUAUAUGUUUAACGGCCGCGGUAUUUUGACCGUGCAAAGGUAGCGCAAUCACUUGUCCUUUAAAUGUGGACCUGUAUGAAUGGCAUAACGAGGGCUUAGCUGUCUCCUUUUUCAAGUCAAUGAACUUGAUCUCCCCGUGCAGAAGCGGGGAUAAAAACAUAAGACGAGAAGACCCUAUGGAGCUUUAGGCAAAAAACAGACCCUGUUAAUUAACCCUAAAUAAAAGGAACAAACCUGGUAAACCUGUUUUAAUGCCUUUGGUUGGGGCGACCGCGGGGCAACAAAAAACCCCCAUGUGGAAUAAAAACACCCUUUUUAAAACCAAGAGCCACCGCUCUAAAGAACAGAACAUCUGACCAAUAAUGAUCCGGCCAAGGCCGAUUAACGAACCGAGUUACCCUAGGGAUAACAGCGCAAUCCUCUUUUAGAGUCCAUAUCGACAAGAGGGUUUACGACCUCGAUGUUGGAUCAGGACAUCCUAAUGGUGCAGCCGCUAUUAAGGGUUCGUUUGUUCAACGAUUAAAGUCCUACGUGAUCUGAGUUCAGACCGGAGCAAUCCAGGUCAGUUUCUAUCUAUGAAAUAACUUUUUCCAGUACGAAAGGACCGAAAAAGGGGGGCCCAUGCUUAAACACGCCCCACUCUCACUUGUUGAGCCCAACUCAAACAAGCAAGAGAGUAUACAACCCAGUCAAAGAACAUGACAU
rnacentral:rRNA from 1 species